CAGCAGUCGCCGCGGUAAUACAGAGGGUGCGAGCGUUAAUCGGAUUUACUGGGCGUAAAGCGUGCGUAGGCGGCUUUUUAAGUCGGAUGUGAAAUCCCUGAGCUUAACUUAGGAAUUGCAUUCGAUACUGGGAAGCUAGAGUAUGGGAGAGGAUGGUAGAAUUCCAGGUGUAGCGGUGAAAUGCGUAGAGAUCUGGAGGAAUACCGAUGGCGAAGGCAGCCAUCUGGCCUAAUACUGACGCUGAGGUACGAAAGCAUGGGGAGCAAACAGGAUUAGAUACCCGCGUAGUCCCUGUCUCUUAUAC
rnacentral:rRNA from 1 species